rnacentral:tRNA from 1 species
AAUAAAGUGCCUGAUAAAAGGAAUAUCUUGAUAGGAUAUAUUAUGCUAUAAAAUAGCCUUUAUUA